UUUCAGUGGCAUGCAAUGCAUGCGUCCAAUAAACACAGUGAGACUUAGUGGCAUGCUUAUUCAUGCAUUAAAUAAAAAAUAACAUAUAAUACCACACAGAAAACAAACAUUUAGUAUUUUCUUUCGGCAGUUACAUAUUUAUUUAAUCACAAUAAGGCUCUUAUUUGUUCGACAAUUACCCAUUAGUACUUACCUUAACCGACAACCCCUAAACCAACUCAAGGUCAUUCCACCAAGCACAAAUCAAC
rnacentral:lncRNA from 1 species